rnacentral:rRNA from 1 species
GUGAGUAACCUGCCCUUGACUCUGGGAUAAGCCUGGGAAACUGGGUCUAAUACUGGAUACGACCUUUCACCGCAUGGUGGGGGGUGGAAAGCUUUUGUGGUUUUGGAUGGACUCGCGGCCUAUCAGCUUGUUGGUGGGGUAAUGGCCUACCAAGGCGACGACGGGUAGCCGGCCUGAGAGGGUGGACGGCCACACUGGGACUGAGACACGGCCCAGACUCCUACGGGAGGCAGCAGUGGGGAAUAUUGCACAAUGGGCGCAAGCCUGAUGCAGCGACGCCGCGUGAGGGAUGAAGGCCUUCGGGUUGUAAACCUCUUUCAGUAGGGAAGAAGCGAAAGUGACGGUACCUGCAGAAGAAGCGCCGGCUAACUACGUGCCAGCAGCCGCGGUAAUACGUAGGGCGCAAGCGUUAUCCGGAAUUAUUGGGCGUAAAGAGCUCGUAGGCGGUUUGUCGCGUCUGCCGUGAAAGUCCGGGGCUUAACUCCGGAUCUGCGGUGGGUACGGGCAGACUUGAGUGAUGUAGGGGAGACUGGAAUUCCUGGUGUAGCGGUGAAAUGCGCAGAUAUCAGGAGGAACACCGAUGGCGAAGGCAGGUCUCUGGGCAUUAACUGACGCUGAGGAGCGAAAGCAUGGGGAGCGAACAGGAUUAGAUA